GGUCGAGUCGGCCUGCGCGGAAGAUGUAACGGGGCUAAACCAUGCACCGAAGCUGCGGCAGCGACACUGUGUGUUGUUGGGUAGGGGAGCGUUCUGUAAGCCUGUGAAGGUGUGCUGUGAGGCAUGCUGGAGGUAUCAGAAGUGCGAAUGCUGACAUAAGUAACGAUAAAGCGGGUGAAAAGCCCGCUCGCCGGAAGACCAAGGGUUCCUGUCCAACGUUAAUCGGGGCAGGGUGAGUCGACCCCUAAGGCGAGGCCGAAAGGCGUAGUCGAUGGGAAACAGGUUAAUAUUCCUGUACUUGGUGUUACUGCGAAGGGGGGACGGAGAAGGCUAUGUUGGCCGGGCGACGGUUGUCCCGGUUUAAGCGUGUAGGCUGGUUUUCCAGGCAAAUCCGGAAAAUCAAGGCUGAGGCGUGAUGACGAGGCACUACGGUGCUGAAGCAACAAAUGCCCUGCUUCCAGGAAAAGCCUCUAAGCAUCAGGUAACAUCAAAUCGUACCCCAAACCGACACAGGUGGUCAGGUAGAGAAUACCAAGGCGCUUGAGAGAACUCGGGUGAAGGAACUAGGCAAAAUGGUGCCGUAACUUCGGGAGAAGGCACGCUGAUAUGUAGGUGAAGUCCCUCGCGGAUGGAGCUGAAAUCAGUCGAAGAUACCAGCUGGCUGCAACUGUUUAUUAAAAACACAGCACUGUGCAAACACGAAAGUGGACGUAUACGGUGUGACGCCUGCCCGGUGCCGGAAGGUUAAUUGAUGGGGUCAGCGCAAGCGAAGCUCUUGAUCGAAGCCCCGGUAAACGGCGGCCGUAACUAUAACGGUCCUAAGGUAGCGAAAUUCCUUGUCGGGUAAGUUCCGACCUGCACGAAUGGCGUAAUGAUGGCCAGGCUGUCUCCACCCGAGACUCAGUGAAAUUGAACUCGCUGUGAAGAUGCAGUGUACCCGCGGCAAGACGGAAAGACCCCGUGAACCUUUACUAUAGCUUGACACUGAACAUUGAGCCUUGAUGUGUAGGAUAGGUGGGAGGCUUUGAAGUGUGGACGCCAGUCUGCAUGGAGCCGACCUUGAAAUACCACCCUUUAAUGUUUGAUGUUCUAACGUGGACCCGUGAUCCGGGUUGCGGACAGUGUCUGGUGGGUAGUUUGACUGGGGCGGUCUCCUCCUAAAGAGUAACGGAGGAGCACGAAGGUUGGCUAAUCCUGGUCGGACAUCAGGAGGUUAGUGCAAUGGCAUAAGCCAGCUUGACUGCGAGCGUGACGGCGCGAGCAGGUGCGAAAGCAGGUCAUAGUGAUCCGGUGGUUCUGAAUGGAAGGGCCAUCGCUCAACGGAUAAAAGGUACUCCGGGGAUAACAGGCUGAUACCGCCCAAGAGUUCAUAUCGACGGCGGUGUUUGGCACCUCGAUGUCGGCUCAUCACAUCCUGGGGCUGAAGUAGGUCCCAAGGGUAUGGCUGUUCGCCAUUUAAAGUGGUACGCGAGCUGGGUUUAGAACGUCGUGAGACAGUUCGGUCCCUAUCUGCCGUGGGCGCUGGAGAACUGAGGGGGGCUGCUCCUAGUACGAGAGGACCGGAGUGGACGCAUCACUGGUGUUCGGGUUGUCAUGCCAAUGGCACUGCCCGGUAGCUAAAUGCGGAAGAGAUAAGUGCUGAAAGCAUCUAAGCACGAAACUUGCCCCGAGAUGAGUUCUCCCUGACCCUUUAAGGGUCCUGAAGGAACGUUGAAGACGACGACGUUGAUAGGCCGGGUGUGUAAGCGCAGCGAUGCGUUGAGCUAACCGGUACUAAUGAACCGUGAGGCUUAACCUUACAACGCCGAAGGUGUUU
rnacentral:rRNA from 1 species